UACGUAGGGUGCGAGCGUUGUCCGGAUUUAUUGGGCGUAAAGAGCUCGUAGGCGGUUUGUCGCGUCGGCCGUGAAAUCUCCACGCUUAACGUGGAGCGUGCGGUCGAUACGGGCAGACUUGAGUUCGGUAGGGGAGACUGGAAUUCCUGGUGUAGCGGUGAAAUGCGCAGAUAUCAGGAGGAACACCGAUGGCGAAGGCAGGUCUCUGGGCAUUAACUGACGCUGAGGAGCGAAAGCAUGGGGAGCGAACAGG
rnacentral:rRNA from 1 species